AGGCGCGUAGCUCAGUGGGAGAGCACUACCUUGACACGGUAGGGGUCGGCGGUUCGAAACCGCCCGUGCCUACCA
rnacentral:tRNA from 1 species